GGAACUGGUGCGUCUGGCCGUCUGGCCCGAGUUCAAGUGCGUGCGCUGACUCCCCCGCUCGCUGCUCGCUGCUCGGGGAGGAAGUGAAGGCUGGAAGAGCGACUCAGCAGCAGCGGGCCGAGGAGCAGGCAGACGCACGUGGCAGACCGGGGCCGCGUGAGAAGCCCUGGGACUCGUGCCGUGCCGUCGGCUUGCCAAACCCAGUCCUGGCAGGGGUGGGGUUCCCACCGAGAGAGAGGCCCUCGAAGGCGCGGGCCCACCUAAUUAAUUUCAAGUGUUUGGGGAAAUCAGAGAAAAAUUGCUGAAGACAAAUCCCAGACCUCCCAUUGGACAACUGCUCCCCCUGCUCAUGGUCCCCUUAAGUCUAGUUCCCAUGCAAAUGCGGGCCUCCAGCCCCUCUCCUCGUGGGGAGGAGCGGGGGAGGGCGCUCGGUCCACCCUCCCUCCCUGCCCGAAGCGGCCCCUGGAGGAGGUCUCCCCGCUCCGGGCCUCAGACUGGAAGAGCACGGCGCCCCAGGCUGCCAUUGUCCCCGUCCCCGGGGGCAAACAAGUGUAGGAAGGAGAAAGCACCGUCCGGAUGGAGCUGAAGGAAGCUGCAGUAAGGUCUUUUGUUAAAAUUGGAAAGCAGUCCUAGGAAGGACGGGGGAAGGACUCUGCCGUGGAAGAAACCAGCAGAGGAUCAAACACGAUGGGCGGAGAAAUGGAGCCCUCCAGUGAAGAGGUCCCCACGCCCCCAGGUACAGCACCGCCACUCCUAAAGUAUCUCCAUUCGCUCCCUGCUCCCUGGCCUGCCUUCCCGACUAGAAGAGGAGAAUUUGGGGUCUUGCUCACCAGUGGGUCCUUGUAGUCACAGUACCCCCAGGAGGGCAAGGCACACAGUAGGCAGUCAAUAAAUGCCUGUUAAAUAAGCA
rnacentral:lncRNA from 1 species